rnacentral:rRNA from 1 species
CCUACGGGGGGCAGCAGUGGGGGAUAUUGCACAAUGGGGGAAACCCUGAUGCAGCGACGCCGCGUGUGGGAAGACGGUCCUCUGGAUUGUAAACCACUGUCCCCAGGGACGAAGAUGACGGUACCUGGGGAGGAAGCUCCGGCUAACUACGUGCCAGCAGCCGCGGUAAUACGUAGGGAGCGAGCGUUGUCCGGAAUUACUGGGUGUAAAGGGAGCGUAGGCGGGACUGCAAGUUGGGUGUCAAAUCUACCGGCUCAACCGGUAGCCGCACUCAAAACUGCAGUUCUUGAGGGAAGUAGAGGCAGGCGGAAUUCCUAGUGUAGCGGUGAAAUGCGUAGAUAUUAGGAGGAACACCAGUGGCGAAGGCGGCCUGCUGGGCUUUUACUGACGCUGAGGCUCGAAAGUGUGGGGAGCAAACAGGAUUAGAUACCCGAGUGUC